AUAAAGUGCAGAGCCAAGCGAGAUGAUCAGGAGAACCUGUGAAAAAGCUAACAGAAAGUUAUACUUGUAUCCCACCAGAGAAUGUGAAGAAUUUAAGAUAAACAAUUGUAUGAAGUUAAAAAAUUAGCAGAUAAUUGUAUGCUAAAAAUGCAAGAAGAAACUGGACAGAGUUUAUGGAUUUGCUGGCCAGGAAAGGGAAAUCACUUGUUUCACAUGUGUCCUUUCAGUUGAAUCAAUUUAACUACUCCAACAGAUAUGAACUUAGGAAAGUAAAAAAGGAAACUACUGCAUUUGAAAAUCCCAAUGAUUCCACCCAAAACUUUCUGACCAUUUUCUCAGUUAUAAAAAAAAGUAGAUUUCAUCCUCUCAUUCUUGUUUUCCUAUGGCUAUGGUUCAGUUUCCUAUGGCUAUGGUUCAGUUCAAACCCAAUACUAACAUAUUCUGAGAUAAAAAUUGACAAAUGCCUACUUUUACAGAGACACCACCUGAACUAAGCCUUAACAACAUUUUCAAGAUCCACAAUAAAAGGUGUACAAGAUUACGCUAGAGUUAUUUUUUCUCCCCCAAGCAAACACUUUCCUUUUCAUAGAUAGGAUUCUAAUAACUCUAAUAAAAAAUACGUAUAGUAGUAAAUAAAAAGAACAAUCUCCGAGCUGAAAAACAUUAAAACUAACUAACAUGAAUCUUCAAAAGUUGAACUUCCAAAAUCCAAAAGAGCUAAAGGUGUUCAAUUUAUCAGAAAUUAACUCACACACAAUAACUAUUCGAAAUUUAUAAAUUAAAAAAAAAAAUCAAUAAAGAGAAAUUAGCACCAGAAAGUAGAAACUUACAUAGCGAGUGAUUGAGUCUGCGUUUCAGGAAUGAAACUUUCUCCGAUCCUUUAAUUUCCUGAUCGUAUAACAAACAGCUCAAAAUUUCAGAAAUUAUUUUCAAAUUAUACGUUUGAAUCACAAAAAAAGGAAAAGAAAAAUGAUGAAUUAGCUUACAUGAUUAAAGCUUUUGCGAUGAUCAAUACAGAUCUGAUGAGUUUAUAUUAAACAGGAUGGAGCCCCGAAGGAAGAAGAUAUACUAAUAUGUUUUGUCUGAUUGAAGAUGUGGGAACCUCAGUUCAGGGUUCGUUGCGUUUAUAUACGCUGUGCAUAAUGACUUCCCUUAUCCUUCCAUUUCCAACAUAUUACGGAUCCCUAUUACCCACCCCUCCCUCCUCU
rnacentral:lncRNA from 1 species